GCCCGGUUAGCUCAAUCGGUAGAGCGUGAGACUCUUAAUCUCAAGGUUGCGGGUAAGUUUAUCCCUGUACUAGACG